UGGGGAAAAAAAAAUCUAAUUUGAGAAGAACCAUAAGGAAAAUUACUUUAGUAUAUGAAAAUUUUCUGGCACGAAAGCCCUAAUUAAAAACAGGUUGCUCCAGUAAAUGUGUUAACACUUGUAAAACUAAUGCCAUAAAAAUGAUCUAUAGAAGUUAGACCUCUGAAAAACACAAAUAAACGGGCGAAAAAAAAAGCAUUGCAGAUUGGAAAAAGCUAGCUUAACACCAUAAGGCACUACGUACCCCAUGCAGGAAUCACAAGUUAGAGUUCUAAUCAAGCCAAACGGAAUAAGAGAGGGCAUAUCAAAUUUAAACUUCCAACAUGACACUUCCUUAAUGCAUUUUGAAAGCUGAUUUCACAAAAUCUCAGUGCAGACUCCAUAAAAUUAUAGAAUGCUUUUACCAAAUCCUUUUUCCCCAGAGUCUAAAAUUGGAACUUCAACAAAAAAGAAAGUAUAAAGCAUCCUAUAAAAAUCAAUCAAAUUAGAUAACCACCCAUAGCCAAACCAGUAACAGUCCAAGAAAAACUAAAACUAAUUCAUAAAUUUAACACAAAUCCGAUCUUUAAAUUAG
rnacentral:misc_RNA from 1 species